UGGCUGGUCAUGAUUAAUGUACAAUGCACAAGAAGACAUCAAAACAGUUGCACCUACAGGUGGCUGCUGAGUGCCUUUUGAACUUCAGAGGAAGGCUUGUGUGAGCAAGGCAGAGACCUUAUGUUGGAGACGGAAUGCUGCAAAAUGCAUGGAACUGUCCACCACCGCUGUGCUGAAAUCAAGUGGAUCAAGGAGAUGUGGCACGUUGCAUCAUGACCAUCUGCUGCAGAGAUGUCCACGCAGCUGAGUAGGAGUAGGAUUGAACUUUGGCCUCAGGCUGUGAUGCAUGCUGUUGGACUGAUCCCUCCUGCUGCUGCUACUCAGAUCCCCUGGCUGGACUUGCAGCUCCUGGGGGAACACAUGCCUCAUGUCCUGGAAAGAACACAGUUCUGGAGUCAGAGGCCAUCAUUUCAUCUGGGCUAACUGCGUCUUGGUCCCUGACUAAUAUUGAGGCAAUGAAUGCAGAGUAUAGCUCAGCCCCAUCCUGGUUGAGAAAUUUCAAACAUACCAGGAAAGUAAAAUAUACGAGAGCCUUAACAAGGUUGUAAAU
rnacentral:lncRNA from 1 species